AGUUUACAAUUGAUUUUCCAGAUCCUGUUUGGCUGCAGGCAUUGUGGACAGACGUCUUACCCUGCAAUCAGCCUUGCAUAUUUACUGUCAACACAGGCGAACCCAUUUCAGCACACACGGCACCAACACAGACGGAAAUUUUGGCACACCUUCUCUGAUGUCCAGCGGGAAGACAUUUCUGGCCACCUUUUGAAUUGCUGGGAAUGGACGCAUCAGCAGUUGUGGCGUAUUUGUGGUCACUUUGCAUAUCUCGUCACUUUUAACGUGUACUUACUUCCUAGCAGAAAUGUCUUCUUUUUAAAAUGUACGCAUCUGAACUUUAGCUACGUAGCAAUCUGA